UGCAUAUUCUUUACAAAUGACAGUGAAGUAUCAGGAAGGGGAGAAAGAAAACGAAAGUAAAAAGUAAGGAGGAGUGCACGGUAAAAUACGCGUACAGUCUUCUAUGCGCAGCGUGGAGGGUUUUUUUUGUUUUGUUUUUUUUUUUUGUUCAUACAUACAUUAGUUCAAAGUAAAUGUUAAUUCAGAAGAAGCAAGUUUGUUCCUAAAUAUUUUUUGUUACCAGAGGAUUAAGGAGGACCACUGUUCAGUGUGUUUCAUGACAGUUCUCCGGCUGGGUUUUUUUACGGUCGAUUUCUGAAAGAGACGACUGCAAUCUGAGGUGUUCCAGUCAGCAGGAACCAGACCGCUCAUCACUGCUGCUGCAUGCAGAGGAGUCACAGAGACAGACCAUGGAUUUGGAUUCGUCAGCUUUCCACGUGGAUUCCAGAUAAGAUUUAGAAGAGAGAAA